CCUACGGGUGACAGCAGUGGGGAAUAUUGGGCAAUGGAGGCAACUCUGACCCAGCAAUGCCGCGUGAGUGAUGAAGGUAAUUUUAUUGUAAAGCUCUUUUCUUUGGAACGAAUAAAUGACGGUACCACAGGAAUAAGCCCCGGCUAACUAAGUGCCAGCCGCCGCGGUAAUACGGAGGGGGCAAGCGUUGGUCGGGAUGAAUGGGCGUAAAGGGUGUGUAGGUGGUUUGAUAAGUUAGAUGUGUAAUCCCCAGGGCUGAACUCGGGUGCUGCAUCUAAAACUGUUAGGCUUGAGUACAGGAGAGGAUAGUGGAAUUCCUAGUGUAGCGGUGGAAUGCGUAGAUAUUAGGAGGAACAUCAGUGGCGAAGGCGACUAACUGGACAGCAACUGACACUGAGGCACGAAAGCGUGGGGAGCAAACAGGAUUAGAUACCCGGGUAGUC
rnacentral:rRNA from 1 species